UACGUAGGGUGCAAGCGUUGUCCGGAAUUACUGGGCGUAAAGCGCACGUAGUCGGCUUUGCAAGUCGGUUGUGAAAUCCCCGGGCUCAACCUGGGAACUGCAUCCGAGACUGCAUUGCUAGAGUAUGGGAGAGGAAAGCGGAAUUUCUGGUGUAGCAGUGAAAUGCGUAGAUAUCAGAAGGAACAUCAGUGGCGAAGGCGGCUUUCUGGACCAAUACUGACGAUCAGGUGCGAAAGCGUGGGGAGCAAACAGG
rnacentral:rRNA from 1 species